rnacentral:lncRNA from 1 species
CAGAACAAAUAAUAGUACCCUAAUAAUACAAAGAUUGAUUCUCUUGGGCAAACUUAGUGGGGAAAAAAAAUCAGAAUUUUCCAUACAGUAAAAUGUACUAUUUUAUUCAUUAGUUGUGCGGUCAAACCUUCAUCAAGGUAUAACAAGCCCUGGGAGUGAUUUCUAUUGAAUGACAAAAGAAGUAGAAUAAAAUUCAUUUAAAACUGGCUCACAACAGCUCUCCUGCAUGUGCUAUAAACUGCUAAGAUCAAGUCACAAAACAUUAUUUUGAGGAGAAAGGGUUUAGUGAACCCUAGAAAUUGGGUUUGAUUUAUGCCAGAAAAUCUGCCUUUUCACUGCUGAGAUUUCUAUGGAAGAAAGCCACAGUCUUUUACCAAACGGUUUCUAAGGAAACCCCUUAUAGCACAGCAUCUGAAAACAAUUUGGUUGUUAAUGAGAAAUGGUUCUCACGAUGGUGGGAAAGUGUUGACUGAAAGAAAAGGCUUCUAGAUUUGGCAGUUAGUCUGUAAAAAGUGUCUGCUAUUCUACAGUUACGUUCCUGAAAUUUCUACAUAGAUUAAAUAAUUGUAGGUCUUAUUUCAUAGUUGUUCUUACUUGUAAAUAUAUUCUUUUAGAAUAGUUUUUGUGCUAACAACGUAGAUAUGUGAACUUGCAAAUAUAUUCAAAUAAGUUGUUUCUGAGAAUCUGUCCACUCUUAUGGAUUUUUCCAAUCUGUUUUGAAAUUCCAGCAUGCUGUAAUUCAUAUAUAUUUGGCAUUGAAUUGUAAGUAUAUAAAAAUAAUUUGCAUAAAAGUCUGCUAAAAGUCUUAAAGUAUAGUGAAAUAUUUAUAUAUUCUUUAAAUCCAUUAAAAAAAUACAUUCUGAAAUGCCCUAAAA